UGCAAGUCGAACGGCAGCACGGGGGCAACCCUGGUGGCGAGUGGCGAACGGGUGAGUAAUGCAUCGGAACGUAUCCUUGAGUGGGGGAUAACGCAGCGAAAGUUGUGCUAAUACCGCAUAAGCUCUGAGGAGGAAAGCGGGGGACCGAAAGGCCUCGCGCUGAAGGAGCGGCCGAUGUCCGAUUAGCUAGUUGGUGAGGUAAAGGCUUACCAAGGCGACGAUCGGUAGCUGGUCUGAGAGGAUGAUCAGCCACACUGGGACUGAGACACGGCCCAGACUCCUACGGGAGGCAGCAGUGGGGAAUUUUGGACAAUGGGGGAAACCCUGAUCCAGCCAUGCCGCGUGAGUGAAGAAGGCCUUCGGGUUGUAAAGCUCUUU
rnacentral:rRNA from 1 species